GUCAAAAACUGUAGUAAUACAGAGAUGGAGGUUUACGAGGAUGUUACUAUUAUUGUUUAUAUAGCGCCACCAUAUUCCACAGCGCUUUCAAAUUAUAAAGAAGGGAUAUUUACAGGUGAAGUAAGACCUGCUCAAACAAGGAGCCAGGAGCAAACCUUUCUUUGCAGAUACACAUCGGCAGUGACAAUGUUUCGACUAACCAGUGAUGACUUGAUAAAGACCAGGGAACUUGUUGAAACAUUCUGCAAUGUCCUUUUUCCAUUGACUAGAUAGUGGAUUUAAGGUCAGUAUAAGCACCCUACAUUGGUUAUGUGAGUGCUUAUCACUGUAAUUAAACUUGUUUCUUAUUUGGGACAUCUGCUUCUAUUUAUGUUUCGACUGUUUUAUGCAAGUUGAUGUUUAAUUUCUUUAUGCAGAAGAAGCUAUAGCGAGAAUUCAUUCUGAUGGCGUUCAAAUAGAAUUAUACAAUGAAACACACAACUGCUUUCAAAAAUGAAUACUGACUAGCACAGAAGAGCUCCAUUCGUAGAAUACAGUAACAGAGAAUAAAGAAGAUGACAAAACGGGCUCUUAGAAUACAGAAACAGAGAAUAAAGAAGAUGACAAAACGGGCUCUUUUUUAUUUAUAUUUAUAAAGGAAUACGUUGCAUUUCAGAAAAAAAUAAACAUUAACAUGUUAAAAUAUAUGAAUUCCCUCACUGGAUUCAUUAAACCUGUAAUUGGUCAGAAAAUUGUAAAUUUGAAGUCAAAGUCAAACUGCAAAAAAAUAAAUUCCUAACUAAGCUAUUUUUUUUUUCCUACAACAGUUAUUUUCUCCUAAAAUUUACCGCGCCUGGUUAAUUAGUGAAGAACCUUGCUCGAGGUAAGAUGGUAAAAUUUUUGUGAGAGCAAAUGGAGAUCUGACAGGAGUAAGGACAAAAGAAGGAGAACGAAGGAAAUUCAGAUUCGAGAUGAAGGUUACUGGGUAUAAAAUUCAUGCAAUUGUGACUAAUUCUAUUGUAAUUCUGUCCACUUAAUUUAGAAGGCUGGCAUUUAUUUGAGUCUCUAGCCCGCGGGGCCCAAUUACAACAUCGCUGGGUUUGCAUAAAGAGAGGAAGUGACUCAGGAUGACGACAGCAAAUUUCUAAGGCAAGACAAGAGACGCUAUAGGCACUCAGACCUCUUCAUCUCAUUGAGCAACUGCGAUGUUUACAUUGCAGGUUUAAGACUGCAACUACAGGCGCUUCCUGCAGUUUCAUAGAGUGUGACUCAGUGAAACAUCCAGCACCAAGCGUUCGACGCUUACUGUGCAUGCACAUUAGGUCCCCCCCCCCAUCGGCUGACGUCAGCGGGGGAAGGAGCACAAGCCACUGCAGAGGGACAUCGGUGCUGCUAUCAGGUAUGCGAAUAAAGUUGUUGUUUUUUUUAACCCUUUCAUAGAUUUGGGGGGGGGUUUGGGGUUGUGGACCAGAUUGUUGUAGCAAUGCAGUUGUACCUCUCCAUGGCAACCAAUGCAAUGUGUAUUUGCUUGCCUCAUGUCAUCCUUGUAUUAUAUAAAACGUUCCAGCUAUUUCAGGUUUGACAGGUUACGUAGAUCAUCAAAGGAUUUGCAUCCUGAAGUUUUUUGAGUUCUGGUUUUACACAUUUGUACAUAGGCCAAAAGUAAUUUUGGAAUCAAGCCAUGCUGCUGGGAGACGUCUUCAUAUAUAGGCAUGUCCUGCUUUCCACAUCUCUGAAGGAACAAUCCACUGAAAAAUACAACCCCUCUAUUUAGUAGGCAUACCCUCAAUGAACGCAUGCAUGCAUUUAAUUCUCCUUUUUUUCUUUCGAGGUGUAUAUAUAAAUAUAUAUAGAGAGAGAGAGAGGGAGAGGGCUGACUGCUCCUUCACACAGUGCCUGCCUGCAUCACCGCUCCUGCUGCGUAUUCUGCAAGUUUGUUCCUCUUUCAAUGCUACCUGCCUGGGUGUGGGGGACUGAAUUUAAAGUCAGUGUAUUGUCCCUGGAAGGUUUUACUUGAGUGGUAGGUGCUGCUUGCCCUACUGGUUUAUGGGUUGACCCCCUAUUACUUACAUGUAAUUUAGUUAUUAAGGGGAGCCUGCUGUUGCUGUCUCCUAAACUGGCUGAGCCAUGGUUGUUUGACCACGUUUGUUAUACGGCCUGUAUUUACUGUGGCUGAUUUUAUUCUGCCAAACUGUCUGUACACUUUUUUUAAGACUAAGAUGGGGCUCGACCUUCAUGCGGGCUGGACGAGUUUCAUGAGCGCCCCCUGCCUGUAACCCAACGUAUGGACUAAAUCAACUAAUACCCAUCCUAACGCUAGCUACAAUGAGACAUACCUCAUCUCUGCCUAAGCUGGUCCAGGUUGAGCGUCGGUUAGACGUAAUUUUGGUCUUAUUGAUGACACAAGCAGUGAGGCCUGGGAGGUGCACCAAGCUGAUCCCCUGGCUGGUAGCAGCCAAACUAUAGCAAUAUCACUCUGCUGCACCCCUCCCCCCCCCCUUUGGACCGGUGAGGGUUAUCCUGGUCCGCUCCUGGGAGGCUACCCUGCAGUGGCGUUGGUAAACAUUCCGGCGGCAGGUGCAGUUGCCGAGCCAAUAUGGCAGAUACCACAUGCUCCGUCUAUCACAGCAGCAGGAAAACGGACAUCAUAUCUAGGCUAGAUAGACUUUUCAACGACUUCUGGUGGAAACUGACACACCAUAGGAGACAGUCUGCUCCGCGGGAACACAGCGACCAUUCACCCUCUGCUCUCACAUCCCCGUCGUAGCCCUUUUGGGGGGUCAGAACAUGGAGGUGGAGAGAGCGACUUCCCCCGCCUAAGUGCAGGCUGAAGCAAAGACGAGGCACACUAUGACUCAAUACUGAGACUCUCCUGGAAUUUAGGAUGUCAAAGAGAAUCGGUAGAGCACCGCGGAUCCUAUUUCGCCUGCCUUUGGUUUAGAGAGGAAGCCUCAGGAGAGGAAGCCUUCGGUUUUUAGAGAGGAAGCCUCAGGAGUCUCUCUGUGCUGUAGGACCAAGCUCUGCCUCUUAAUGGCAUAGGCUGAGAUGGGCAGUGUGGCGGGACUCCUAAGGGCUCAUUGUCACUCACCUUACUCUGUGGCAUAGCUUACGCAGUGAUUCUUCUCACAUUGCUUUUGUUGCUGUGUCCCCUGCUGGAAUUUUUCUAUUAUAUCGUUAUAGCUUUUCUGUACUUACGCUGGUCUAUGCACUUCUCUACUCGGGGGGGCCUCCUAGGGGGAUAAGUAUGUCUGAUAAUCGUCCAUUCUUAGACUAUUAGUAUGUGUACCUUCCUGUAUUUGCUUCAUGUAUCUUAGACCAUUUGUUGUUUUUACACUUUAACUAAAAAAAUAAAAAAAAUAUUGUGCUGUGAUUUCAACUGCCACACAAUGUAUUACUAAAUAUUAUUGUUUGCGUUGCUAUAGUUGUUGUGGAAUAGCGGAAAUGUUUGUUAUUAUAAGCAUAGCGGAAAAAAAGACUUUGAGUCAUGUCGCACUAAAUGUGUUAAGAUGCUUUUGUUUUUUCGCUGCAAUGUCCUUGAAUUUGUUCAUUUUCCAGACUAUUUCAAUAAAUGUUUUGUUUUAUUUUCUCAUGAACUGCAUCUGCUUUCUACAUGAUUUUGGGUGUUAGCCGGCAUCUGCCUUGUGAUUCUGCUGAAUUAGAUAAUUCUGCGAUUGACUACCCCUGCUUUGGAUGCUGGACUCCACUGUUCAC